GGUAGAAGCAGAAAAUUAUCUGUAUUUAAGUUCUCACUUGAGCAGCCUCCUUCAGUUAUGGAAAAUACAAGACACUGGGUGGACUCCAGUAUCUUCAGUGUUUUGAAUGUCUCUUAAAAGCAAUGUGAUAUCAAGGGAGCCGGGGAGUGUUUGUGACCCCUCCAGCCAGCACUAAUGGUAAUAAGAGUACCGAUGCCGAGCGAUGUUUGUGCACUUGAGAGAAUUAGAGAUAACUGGAAUUUUUAAAACAUCUCCUGCUCCUCUCCAGUCAUCUGCUUAGUAUAGAAGAAGGAGGCCAGUGGCAGCGAGCUCUGCUAAGACUUUCCCAGCAUCUGUGGUUUCACAGGCCUCAGAAAUCCCAAGAGAGCUGCUCAAAAGUCUUCUCCUUUCUGACAACGGAGAACAACAAUGAUAGUACCAGAUGCCAUCUGAUGAUGUUUAUUCCAAGCCAGGCCAUGUGAAGAUGCAGAGAGAAGGUGGCCAUCCACAGGCCAGGAAGAGAGCCC